rnacentral:rRNA from 1 species
AGUGAACGCUGGCGGUAGGCCUAACACAUGCAAGUCGAACGGCAGCACAGUAAGAGCUUGCUCUUACGGGUGGCGAGUGGCGGACGGGUGAGGAAUACAUCGGAAUCUACUUUUUCGUGGGGGAUAACGUAGGGAAACUUACGCUAAUACCGUAUACGACCUACGGGUGAAAGCAGGGGAUCUUCGGACCUUGCGCGAUUGAAUGAGCCGAUGUCGGAUUAGCUAGUUGGCGGGGUAAAGGCCCACCAAGGCGACGAUCCGUAGCUGGUCUGAGAGGAUGAUCAGCCACACUGGAACUGAGACACGGUCCAGACUCCUACGGGAGGCAGCAGUGGGGAAUAUUGGACAAUGGGCGCAAGCCUGAUCCAGCCAUACCGCGUGGGUGAAGAAGGCCUUCGGGUUGUAAAGCCCUUUUGUUGGGAAAGAAAAGCAGCAGGUUAAUACCCCGCUGUUCUGACGGUACCCAAAGAAUAAGCAUCGGCUAACUUCGUG